AUACGUAGGUGGCAAGCGUUGUCCGGAAUUAUUGGGCGUAAAGCGCGCGCAGGCGGUCCUUUAAGUCUGAUGUGAAAGCCCACGGCUCAACCGUGGAGGGUCAUUGGAAACUGGGGGGCUUGAGUGCAGAAGAGGAAAGUGGAAUUCCAAGUGUAGCGGUGAAAUGCGUAGAGAUUUGGAGGAACACCAGUGGCGAAGGCGACUUUCUGGUCUGUAACUGACGCUGAGGCGCGAAAGCGUGGGGAGCAAACAGGAUUAGAUACCCUGGUAGUCCACGCCGUAAACGAUGAGUGCUAAGUGUUAGGGGGUUUCCGCCCCUUAGUGCUGCAGCUAACGCAUUAAGCACUCCGCCUGGGGAGUACGGUCGCAAGACUGAAACUCAAAUGAAUUGACGGGG
rnacentral:rRNA from 1 species